GAGGAGCUUGCUCUUCUUGGAUGAGUUGCGAACGGGUGAGUAACGCGUAGGUAACCUGCCUUGUAGCGGGGGAUAACUAUUGGAAACGAUAGCUAAUACCGCAUAACAAUGGAUGACACAUGUCAUUUAUUUGAAAGGGGCAAUUGCUCCACUACAAGAUGGACCUGCGUUGUAUUAGCUAGUAGGUGAGGUAAUGGCUCACCUAGGCGACGAUACAUAGCCGACCUGAGAGGGUGAUCGGCCACACUGGGACUGAGACACGGCCCAGACUCCUACGGGAGGCAGCAGUAGGGAAUCUUCGGCAAUGGGGGCAACCCUGACCGAGCAACGCCGCGUGAGUGAAGAAGGUUUUCGGAUCGUAAAGCUCUGUUGUAAGUCAAGAACGGGUGUGAGAGUGGAAAGUUCACACUGUGACGGUAGCUUACCAGAAAGGGACGGCUAACUACGUGCCAGCAGCCGCGGUAAUACGUAGGUCCCGAGCGUUGUCCGGAUUUAUUGGGCGUAAAGCGAGCGCAGGCGGUUUGAUAAGUCUGAAGUUAAAGGCUGUGGCUCAACCAUAGUUCGCUUUGGAAACUGUCAAACUUGAGUGCAGAAGGGGAGAGUGGAAUUCCAUGUGUAGCGGUGAAAUGCGUAGAUAUAUGGAGGAACACCGGUGGCGAAAGCGGCUCUCUGGUCUGUAACUGACGCUGAGGCUCGAAAGCGUGGGGAGCGAACAGGAUUAGAUACCCUGGUAGUCCACGCCGUAAACGAUGAGUGCUAGGUGUUGGAUCCUUUCCGGGAUUCAGUGCCGCAGCUAAC
rnacentral:rRNA from 1 species